rnacentral:rRNA from 2 species
CAGGGAAUCUUGCGCAAUGGGCGAAAGCCUGACGCAGCGACACCGCGUGAGGGAAGAAUGCUUUCGGGUUGUAAACCUCUUUUGUUAGGGAAGAGAAGGGACUGUACCUGACGAAUAAGCCCCGGCUAACUACGUGCCAGCAGCCGCGGUAAUACGUAGGGGGCGAGCGUUGUCCGGAUUUAUUGGGCGUAAAGGGCGAGUAGGCGGCACGUCAAGUCCCAUGUGAAAUCUCCCGGCUUAACCGGGAGGGGUCAUGGGAAACUGGCGGGCUUGAGGACAGCAGAGGAGAGCGGAAUUCCCGGAGUAGUGGUGAAAUGCGUAGAUACCGGGAGGAACACCAGUGGCGAAAGCGGCUCUCUGGGCUGCCCCUGACGCUGAGGCGCGAAAGCAUGGGGAGCAAACCGG